GGCACCUGGGGCAUCCUUGCAUCACGUUGGCAGCUGCUGCCAAAGAAGAGCAGUCUUUUAGUAAUUAUCAAGUGACACCUGAUCCAAGUGCAAAGCAGGAGAAAAUCAAUCUAGUUUCCAGUAAACUUUACAAAAGAUGAUUGAUGAAUUGCAGCUGUACAGUGAACGUUAAUGCUCCCUAUUAAAAGGGGAAAAGCUGGAGUGAAAUUAUAACUUCUAGUUUCAGAAGAGAAAAGGUUAUCACCUGUGCAUGAGCUGACUGGUGAUAUUUCUCAAUCUGUAGAAAAGUAACUGUCCUUUUUGAGAAGAAAGUGUCAUCCUGAUGAAUCAUCUAAUCAAAAAAAAAUUAGCAUAUGGUGGCAUGAGUGUUUAUGACAGUGCAGUCUUGUACAACUCACAUUUCACUGCUUUUCCUGCUAAUCAAUCUGUAGCUUUGUGGCAAAAGAAUAUAUAAUUUAGUUGAAGUCAAAUUCUAAUUACUGGCAAACCCAAGACCUGAUCUUAGUUCAAGUAGCAAGGUUAUUUCACCAGAAUACUAGAUACAGAAUUAAAAUAUUUCCAGCCAUUUAAUUAGUGAAGGGCUUAAGUAUUUCAGUUAAGCAUAAUGAAAAAUACACUGUUUCUCUACAGCUAAUUAUUUGUUAGAAUAUUUUUUGAGCAUAUUUUCAAAACCUGAUUUAUAUUUGUAAACACAUCAGUUUCAUGAAUAAUAAUCAGGGAAACAUAAAAGUGUUUAGUAAAUUAUGAUCUGUAAAGCUGUAUAUGUGCUACUAAGAGCCUUUAUUUUACAGCAUUGUACAACCUCUCACAGUACUUAAGACAUAAACUUGUUAAGAAGUACAAAGAUCAUGUAAUGGUGAGAUCUAUGUCACAUUGAAGUAAAUAGGAAAACUCCAUAGACUUUGAUGGAAACAGAAGUAGGUUUGGAAGUAGAAGAUAAAAGAUAAGGAGAAUCUUUAUUAAAAACUGAAAAAAAAAAGUCAUGCAGGAAAAGGUAAUAAAUAUACAUGUAUGUAUUUGACAAGUGAGGUAGCAGUUUAGUUGCUUAACUCCAGAAAGUGGAAAGCCAGCUGAGGAAAAAGAAACUAGUUUUCUUCAAAAGGCUCUCUUAUUCCUUGUCUUUUAAGAACCAAGGUAGCACUGCCUUCUUACACAAGC